AUGGCAUCUCACAUCACCAUGGGACACAUUGGGGAAGUUUAUCACAAGGAGCUUAAGGAUACUACCUACCAGAUUUGUGGGCGCCGAGAUGAGCAAUGGGAGAUGAUCAGCACGAGGAAAGAAAGAUCAGUUGCAGCUUUCAUCCUGGAGUUAAACCAGCACAUUCGACGCCAGGAGAACCAGAUGUGUGCAGGCAUGAUGGAUCUGAAGAAGGCCAUGACCAAGAUCACGGAAUUGGAGGAAGAACUCAAGUCUACAUGCGAUGGAUAUGAGGAGGAAAUGUCGACUCUAGUCGAAAAGAAUGAUGAUCUGAAGAAGAAGCUAAGAGUGUUUAUGGGAUUUCCAGCAACUGGAGAAGACGAAGAUUGUACUUGUCCCGAGAACUACAUCAUCAUCGAUGAUACCGACUCGGACCCGGAUGAUAGUGAUGACGACUAUGUUGAUGAAGCUGGAGCAGAUAUCAUGGAGUCUUCAUCGGAGCAGUUUUUCUAG
rnacentral:rRNA from 1 species